UACGGAGGGUGCAAGCGUUAUCCGGAUUCACUGGGUUUAAAGGGUGCGUAGGAGGGCAGGUAAGUCAGUGGUGAAAUCUCCAAGCUUAACUUGGAAACUGCCGUUGAUACUAUCUGUCUUGAAUAUUGUGGAGGUGAGCGGAAUAUGUCAUGUAGCGGUGAAAUGCUUAGAUAUGACAUAGAACACCAAUUGCGAAGGCAGCUCGCUACUCAAUUAUUGACUCUGAGGCACGAAAGCGUGGGGAUCAAACAGG
rnacentral:rRNA from 1 species